GAUGAACGCUGGCGGCGUGCCUAAUACAUGCAAGUCGAGCGAACGGACGAGAAGCUUGCUUUUCUGAUGUUAGCGGCGGACGGGUGAGUAACACGUGGAUAACCUACCUAUAAGACUGGGAUAACUUCGGGAAACCGGAGCUAAUACCGGAUAAUAUUUUGAACCGCAUGGUUCAAAAGUGAAAGACGGUCUUGCUGUCACUUAUAGAUGGAUCCGCGCUGCAUUAGCUAGUUGGUAAGGUAACGGCUUACCAAGGCAACGAUGCAUAGCCGAACUGAGAGGGUGAUCGGCCACACUGGAACUGAGACACGGUCCAGACUCCUACGGGAGGCAGCAGUAGGGAAUCUUCCGCAAUGGGCGAAAGCCUGACGGAGCAACGCCGCGUGAGUGAAGAAGGUCUUCGGAUCGUAAAACUCUGUUAUUAGGGAAGAACAUAUGUGUAAGUAACUGUGCACAUCUUGACGGUACCUAAUCAGAAAGCCACGGCUAACUACGUG
rnacentral:rRNA from 1 species